UUGAAGCCUAAAGUUUUUUUUAUUUUGGUUUUGUUUUCAUUGAAUAGUGUUUCUCAUUUCAUGAGAACUUAGUUUUUGUUUUAUGAUUUCAUUUAUCUGGUUUUCUUUAUAUCACUAACUAUGUUUAUCUUUCGCUUGAUUUUGAAUGAUCACGUUUAAUGUUUUUUCUUAUUUUUGAAUCGAUUUUACUUAUGUUUUGGCUAUUAAAAUAUGUACAAAUCAUGUAUUUUAAAUCCGAAGAACCGAUUUCAUUUAUGUUUUAGUUACAAAAUAGGUACAAAUCAUGUAUUGUUAAACCGAAGAACCGAUUGGGACCCGAACCCGAAAAUACAAUGGGUUAUACCGGUUCUUUGAAG
rnacentral:lncRNA from 1 species